GACGAACGCUGGCGGCGUGCUUAACACAUGCAAGUCGAACGGAAAGGCCCUGCUUUUGUGGGGUGCUCGAGUGGCGAACGGGUGAGUAACACGUGAGUAACCUGCCCUUGACUUUGGGAUAACUUCAGGAAACUGGGGCUAAUACCGGAUAGGAGCUCCUGCUGCAUGGUGGGGGUUGGAAAGUUUCGGCGGUUGGGGAUGGACUCGCGGCUUAUCAGCUUGUUGGUGGGGUAGUGGCUUACCAAGGCUUUGACGGGUAGCCGGCCUGAGAGGGUGACCGGCCACAUUGGGACUGAGAUACGGCCCAGACUGCUACGGGAGGCAGCAGUGGGGAAUAUUGCACAAUGGGCGGAAGCCUGAUGCAGCAACGCCGCGUGCGGGAUGACGGCCUUCGGGUUGUAAACCGCUUUCGCCUGUGACGAAGAGUGAGUGACGGUAAUGGGUAAAGAAGCACCGGCUAACUACGUG
rnacentral:rRNA from 1 species